AGUUUCCGAGUGACCUGCGAAAGAUCAUAUGGAGAGGUCUUCGGACCUCGGGCUCGGCCCCCAGUUCUCACCCCCUGUUCACGUAUCAUGUUGCUUGACGGGCCCCGGAGGCUGCCCCCUCGAUGGCUGGCGACUUCGCGUCCCGGCCUGUUCGCGCCGUCCGAGGCCUAUCAACCCGACUUACCGUGCCGUCCGAGUACAACCAUAAUAGUAUAAAACUUUCAACAACGGAUCUCUGGGUCUGGGCAUCGAUGAAGAACGCAGCGAAUGCGAUAAGUAAUGUGAAUUGCAGAAUUCAGUGAGUCAUCGAAUCUUGAACGCACAUUGCGCCCCUCGGUAUUCCGGGGGGCAUACCUGUUCGAGCGUCAUUACACCCCUCAAGCUCGGCUUGGUACUGGGUCUUCGCCCCGGGGGCGGGCCCGAAAGUCAGUGGUGGUUCGGCGCGACUUCGAGCGUAGUAAAACUUCUCCCGCUCUGGAAGUCGCCGCGUGACCGGCCAGACGCCCAAAUCUUGGAAUGAUGAGCUCGAUCAGGUACGCCA
rnacentral:rRNA from 1 species